UACGGGGGGGGCAAGCGUUGUUCGGAAUUACUGGGCGUAAAGGGCUCGUAGGCGGCCAACUAAGUCAGACGUGAAAUCCCUCGGCUUAACCGGGGAACUGCGUCUGAUACUGGAUGGCUAGAGUUUGGGAGAGGGAUGCGGAAUUCCAGGUGUAGCGGUGAAAUGCGUAGAUAUCGUGAGGAAGACCAGUUGCGAAAGCGGGUCUCUGGGCAAUUCCUGACGCUGAGGCACGAAGGCUAGGGGAGCAAACGGG
rnacentral:rRNA from 1 species